GACAGAGGGUGCAAACGUUGUUCGGAAUUACUGGGCGUAAAGCGUGUGUAGGCGGUGAGGUAAGUCGGAUGUGAAAGCCCAGGGCUCAACCCUGGAAGUGCACUCGAUACUGCUUCGCUUGAGUACUGGAGAGGUCGGUGGAAUUCUCGGGUGUAGAGGUGAAAUUCGUAGAUAUCGAGAGGAACAUCUGUGGCGAAGGCGGCCGACUGGACAGAUACUGACGCUGAGACACGAAAGUGUGGGGAGCAAACAGG
rnacentral:rRNA from 1 species